rnacentral:rRNA from 1 species
GACGAACGCUGGCGGCGUGCUUAACACAUGCAAGUCGAACGGAAAGGCCCUGCUUUUGUGGGGUGCUCGAGUGGCGAACGGGUGAGUAACACGUGAGUAACCUGCCCUUGACUUUGGGAUAACUUCAGGAAACUGGGGCUAAUACCGGAUAGGAGCUCCUGCUGCAUGGUGGGGGUUGGAAAUUUUCGGCGGUUGGGGAUGGACUCGCGGCUUAUCAGCUUGUUGGUGGGGUAGUGGCUUACCAAGGCUUUGACGGGUAGCCGGCCUGAGAGGGUGACCGGCCACAUGGGGACUGAGAUACGGCCCAGACGCCUACGGGAGGCAGCAGUGGGGAAUAUUGCACAAUGGGCGGAAGCCUGAUGAAGAAACGCCGCGUGCGGGAUGACGGCCUUCGGGUUGUAAACCGCUUUCGCCUGUGACGAAGCGUGAGUGACGGUAAUGGGUAAAGAAGCACCGGCUAACUACGUG